AAUAGAUACCCCGGUAGUCCACGCCGUAAACGUUGGAUACUAGGUGUGGCGGUCUACCAACGACUGCCGUGCCGAAGCUAACGCAUUAAGUAUCCCGCCUGGGGAGUACGGCCGCAAGGCUAAAACUCAAAGGAAUUGACGGGUCCCCGCACAAGCGGCGGAGCAUGCGGCUUAAUUCGAUGCAACCCGAAGAACCUUACCUGGGUUUGACAUCAUGGGAAAAGCCGUAGAAAUACGGUGUCCGAAAGGGCCCAUGACAGGUGGUGCAUGGCUGUCGUCAGCUCGUGUCGUGAGAUGUUGGGUUAAGUCCCGCAACGAGCGCAACCCUUGUCCUAUGUUGCCAGCGGUUCGGCCGGGGACUCAUAGAAGACUGCCGGGGAUAACUCGGAGGAAGGUGAGGACGACGUCAAGUCAUCAUGCCCCUUAUAUCCAGGGCUGCACGCAUGCUACAAUGGCCGGUACAACGGGAAGCGACCCCGCGAGGGUGAGCGAAUCCCUUAAAGCCGGUCCCAGUUCGGAUUGAAGUCUGCAACUCGACUUCA
rnacentral:rRNA from 1 species